rnacentral:lncRNA from 10 species
AUUUGUUCUGACCACGAGGCAUUCCUGGAGUCUCUCUGAAUCUGCUGUGAUUCUGGAGGCUGCCCGAUUCAUGAAUCUUUGUUUUUUUCUUGCUUAAUUAUACUUUGUUAAAUUUAAUUUGUCUGAAGUUUUCUUUUAACAGAUCUGGCUUCAAAAGUGGGAUUCGAAGUAAAACUUUGGCAACCCCCAGGAACACUAGGUGACCAGGCAAGGUACCUGUGGAGCCCAUUGUGCUCACUACUCUCUUGAUUGUAACUGGAGGACAUGGGUAAAGAAAGCUUUUCAAGAUCCACCAACUGAGGAUAAUCAAACCUUCCAUGAUCUGGAACCUGGAGACUGAGUCUUCUGGAAAUGACAUCACAGGAAGACUACUCUCAUUGGAAGGGACUAUACCAAGUCCUUCUCAUCACCUAUACCACAGUGAAGCUUCAGGGCCUUGAAUCUUGGGUCCAUGUCUCACAACUCAAAAGGGCUCCUUUCAAACUCCUGGAACUGUACACCUGUUGGAGACUUUCAGGCUUCCAUUGAAAGUUGAAUGGUCUCACCCCAACUGGGUCAGCAAGUACAUAAAGAAUCAUUCAGCUGGUACAAAAUGUGACUUGUGAAUUCCACAUUGACACCAAAGAAGACCUGUGAAGCACCAUACUAAAACUAAAGAAGACCUGUGAAUUCUACACUGAGACCAAAUAAGUCUUUAUGAUGGUGACAGAGAGUGGCAUCGAUGCCUAAAGUUUUGGCCAAUCUCUCUAAAUUGAGAGGGUGAUCAAAAGGGAGGAAUUGUUAAAGUGAACUAAAUAUGGCCUAAGAAGGACUCUGUACUUCUAUAUUUGAGUCCUUGUGGAUGAACCAUAAUCUAAUUGGAUUGGUAGACAAGAUUAAAAACCUAACUUAGGAGAAUGCAUCUGUAACAGUUGCUGAAUCUUGGCCAAUCCCAGCGGACAUACUUCAACCAAUUAUACACUGUUGAUUGUUCAGACUGUGUUCAAAUAAGGCAAACGCCAACCUGUAACCAAGUCAGCUGUUUCUGUACCUCACUUCUAAUUUCUGUAUGUCACUUUCCCUUUUUAUCUAUAAAUUUGCUCUAACCACGGGGCAUCCCUGGAAUCUCUCUGAAUCUGUUGUGAUUCUGGAGGCUUCCUGAUUCAUGAACCGUUUUUUUUUUCUUGCUCAAUUAAACUCUGUUAAAUUUAAUUUGCCUAAAGUUUUCUUUUAACAGAUC